CAUGCCCGGCAGAGGAGGGCCCAACAAGUGAGCUGUUAUUUCUAAAGGGUAAAUAUUUAUAUAAUUUUUUAUAACAGAGGGAAAGUUCAGGAAAAUCCCUGACUGGUCCUAGCUGGCUUGGGAGGUGGGGCCGGCAGGGUGGGGGUGUCUGUGUGUGUGGCGGGAGCUCGCUGGAGCAACAGGAACCCAGGUCUAGCACCCCGGCCCCAGGAGCAGCUGGUGCCUUCCCCAGGACCUGAGGGGAAAACAGCCAUCAAAGUGCUCUGUCACCGCCACAGUACUCAUGUGUGCAGGGCCCUGGUUUAGGAAGCAGCCUACACAUCUGAACUCCUCUUCCAGAUGCAGCAACAGAAGCACAGAGAGGCUGAGCAUCGAAGUGCCUUCUUCCCUGCCACAUCAUUUUAAUUCCAAGAGGAACUGUGCAAGGAACCUAAGAGCAUCCCCAUUUUGCAGACCGCACCAUUAAGGCCUGGAGGCCAAAGGCAUUUCUUGGUGAGCAGCAACAUUCAGACUUCCAGUCAGCUCAUCAGGCUCCAAGUCUGCCACUCAGGGCAAGGACCCUGGGCACAAGUAUGGACGGUGGGCACCAGAGAUUCCCAAGGGAGACUUUUGGAACCUAUAGGGAGUCCCUGAAAGCUUGCUCUGCCUCCACACACCAUUUGUAGAGCAUGUGCCCUGCUGUCUCUGGGCCUGUGCCUUUGCUUCCGCUCACCCUGAGCCUGUCUAGCCACAGGUAUGGGCAGGACCAUCUCACAGACAGGGACAAUGGGGAGCCACAGAGGGCAAGGAAGGGAGUGAGUGGCACUAUUGCACACACGUGCUUUACGUUCCCUGGGCUGCAGGGAUGGACGACGAGUGCUGAAGGUGGGGACGGGAGGCCAGGGAGCUAGGACAGUUUCCCUGAGAGCAACAAGGGAAGCCAGAAGCACGGCGUGGAGGUGGGGAGUAGCUGGAAAGGACGGGUGAGAUUCUAGAAAUGUCAGGAACAGGGCACCUCGGGACUCAACAGCCGAUUCCAAAUACUGCAGGGGGAGAAGAAGGGACAAGCCGCAGGGCUCGCCCAGAGCCCAUUCUCCCAGCCACCCCGCCAAUACCGGCCCCUCCUCGGCUUCGCUGCUCCUGUCACACUUGGGUCCCCAAAACCUCUCCUGUACAUACCGCCAGCCCGAGUGUGGUUCAUGACAGCCGCUGUGUCGGAACCCGUCAGACCUGAGGUGGCAGACCGCGUGUCUGAGUCC